rnacentral:tRNA from 1 species
GGGCGAGUGGCGCAACCGGCGCACGCUGGCGCAGUCUUGCCAGGCCGCCUAAAGCAAGCAGUAAUCCACCGGUUCGAGCGGCGGCGGUAGCUCGGUUUCGCCCA